CUCGCGUCAGGAUAUGCCUAGGUGGGAUUAGCUAGUUGGUGAGGUAAGGGCUCACCAAGGCGACGAUCCCUAGCUGGUCUGAGAGGAUGAUCAGCCACACUGGAACUGAGACACGGUCCAGACUCCUACGGGAGGCAGCAGUGGGGAAUAUUGCACAAUGGGCGCAAGCCUGAUGCAGCCAUGCCGCGUGUGUGAAGAAGGCCUUCGGGUUGUAAAGCACUUUCAGUCGUGAGGAAGGCGGUGUCGUUAAUAGCGGCGUUGUUUGACGUUAGCGACAGAAGAAGCACCGGCUAACUCCGUGCCAGCAGCCGCGGUAAUACGGAGGGUGCGAGCGUUAAUCGGAAUUACUGGGCGUAAAGCGCAUGCAGGUGGUUUGUUAAGUCAGAUGUGAAAGCCCGGGGCUCAACCUCGGAAUAGCAUUUGAAACUGGCAGACUAGAGUACUGUAGAGGGGGGUAGAAUUUCAGGUGUAGCGGUGAAAUGCGUAGAGAUCUGAAGGAAUACCGGUGGCGAAGGCGGCCCCCUGGACAGAUACUGACACUCAGAUGCGAAAGCGUGGGGAGCAAACAGGAUUAGAUACCCUGGUAGUCCACGCCGUAAACGAUGUCUACUUGGAGGUUGUGGCCUUGAGCCGUGGCUUUCGGAGCUAACGCGUUAAGUAGACCGCCUGGGGAGUACGGUCGCAAGAUUAAAACUCAAAUGAAUUGACGGGGGCCCGCACAAGCGGUGGAGCAUGUGGUUUAAUUCGAUGCAACGCGAAGAACCUUACCUACUCUUGACAUCCAGAGAACUUUCCAGAGAUGGAUUGGUGCCUUCGGGAACUCU
rnacentral:rRNA from 1 species